rnacentral:sRNA from 1 species
AUACCUCCAAUGCAAACUGAUGUGCUGCUACAUCAACUUUGUUGAAUGUCAGGAUGAGAGGUAACCUUGUCUUAUAGAGGAUACUACAAGCAUACAACAUGUUGCUCAUGAAAGUUGUAGGAUCUUCUGAACGAGGUGUAUCAACUACAUAGGCCACUACAGUGGGAAAUGUGGAUGCAAAAGCUUCUGUAAUGAUAGCACCAGAAGCAGACCAGGUAAAUAUUUCAAUCUGACCAGGGGUGUCCACAAGAACAUAGUCAAGUUGAUCUGCCCGUCUCUCAAUCAUAGAGUUUACCUCAUCAAACUUGGUGGCAAACAAGUUCAUAGAAGUCAAAAUUCCACCAUUAGGGCCAAGGUUAAACUGCUUCAUGACUUCUUUGUAUUUAACAGUGUCUCUUAUAUCGAUGUUGGAAGCAUAUGGAAGGGUCAUGACGGCAGGGUCAAGAUUCACCACAUAACCCCGGAUGUUUUUUAUAU